GAUGAACGCUGGCGGCGUGCCUAAUACAUGCAAGUAGAACGCUGAAGGAGGAGCUUGCUCUUCUGGAUGAGUUGCGAACGGGUGAGUAACGCGUAGGUAACCUGCCUGGUAGCGGGGGAUAACUAUUGGAAACGAUAGCUAAUACCGCAUGACAACAGUUAUUGCAUGAUAACUGUUUAAAAGGGGCAACUGCUCCACUACCAGAUGGACCUGCGUUGUAUUAGCUAGUUGGUGAGGUAACGGCUCACCAAGGCGACGAUACAUAGCCGACCUGAGAGGGUGAUCGGCCACACUGGGACUGAGACACGGCCCAGACUCCUACGGGAGGCAGCAGUAGGGAAUCUUCGGCAAUGGACGGAAGUCUGACCGAGCAACGCCGCGUGAGUGAAGAAGGUUUUCGGAUCGUAAAGCUCUGUUGUAAGAGAAGAACGAGUGUGCGAGUGGAAAGUUCACACUGUGACGGUAUCUUACCAGAAAGGGACGGCUAACUACGUG
rnacentral:rRNA from 1 species